rnacentral:rRNA from 1 species
CCUACGGGUGGCAGCAGUGAGGAAUAUUGGUCAAUGGACGAGAGUCUGAACCAGCCAAGUAGCGUGAAGGAUGACUGCCCUAUGGGUUGUAAACUUCUUUUAUAUGGGAAUAAAAUGUUCCACGUGUGGGAUUUUGUAUGUACCAUAUGAAUAAGGAUCGGCUAACUCCGUGCCAGCAGCCGCGGUAAUACGGAGGAUCCGAGCGUUAUCCGGAUUUAUUGGGGUUAAAGGGAGCGUAGGUGGAUUGUUAAGUCAGUUGUGAAAGUUUGCGGCUCAACCGUAAAAUUGCAGUUGAAACUGGCAGUCGUGAGUACAGUAGGGGUGGGCGGAAGUCGUGGUGUAGCGGUGAAAUGCUUAGAUAUCACGAAGAACUCCGAUUGCGAAGGCAGCUCACUGGACUGCAACUGACACUGAGGCUCGAAAGUGUGGGUAUCAAACAGGAUUAGAUACCCCAGUAGUC